CGGGAUAUAGCGCAGCUUGGUAGCGCGCCUCAUUCGGGACGAGGAGGUCGUGGGUUCGAAUCCCGCUAUCCCGACCG
rnacentral:tRNA from 1 species